UCAGAACUUGGGUUUGAAAAGGAAACUGAUUUGGAAACUUCUGGAGAAAAAGAAAAGAAACAAGAGGAUCAAUAACCCAGUUCGAAAAAGACAGAUUUGAUUGGAAUAAAGACUGAAGCCUAUGCUAUUGCUGAUAAGAGUUGAUUAGGUAUUCAUUUUUUUUUUCUCUUCACUCGUAUACUUGUCAUAGAUUGUUCACAACCAAGAUAAUUGAGCACUAUAGGGUUUUGAUUAGACUCUGCCAUAAAAUUUUUGUUUGUGUAUUUUAGCCUUCGGUUGGAUGAUAUCUAUUCAAUUGACAAAGGCCAAAGGUUCCUUUUAAUUGCUUGUGUCCAAAUCUUCUAAGCACUUUCUUUUAGCUGAUCAUUCACAGCUGAGCAAUUUGUAACUAUGGCCAACAUAUUGACCGUUAAUAUGAAACACUGAAAUUCACGAUAAUGAUUUUAUCAAAGUUUCAAUCUCGCCAGACAAAUAUUUGUGGUAGAAUAUGCUGCAGCAGAGAUCAUCAAAACGAUAACAAGUUCUCAAAUCCUAGCUUUCCAAAAAACAUAAGAGGGUUCAAAACUUGAAGGACAAAUUUCCCCAUUUUUCCGAGGAAUCCAAUAAUCUUCUUCUUUAUUUUAAUCCAAGAUAGAGUUCCAUUGAUCGGAGAAAUAAAACAAUGAUCAAGGCCUACACUUAGCAUCAGAACAGGAAACACUAAGGCCCAAGUACAAUACAAAGUCAAAUAGGAAGAAGUCCAACUUGGAUUCUAAGACCCGAACCCACACUUAACCCGGCCAAAAGAUCCGAAAAGAAGUGGAUAUCAUGUCGCUACCUCUGGGUUCAACAAUCGCCCUAGUGAAGAACCGAUGGAAGAUUCAUCAACUGUGGCCAGGAGCACUGACUCUUUAACGCUUGGAUGUCUAAGGAAGGCCAGAAGCUCAGUCGAUCGCAUCCUCCAAAGACAGACCCUAUCUUUAGACUUAACAGGCAAUAUGGAAACCAGAUUUAGUUUGGAUGGGAAGUUGCUUCCACUUGAACAAAGAAAGAAACAAUCUCCCGAUCAACAUAGCCACCUCCCACGGUCAAGGGAAGCUUCUUACAGCUCACUAAUCGAACAACAAGGAGGCAACCGACGACUUAUAGUGAACUGUCUCACCAUCUAAGACCACCCACACGAACCGCCCCUCAGUACUAUUCGCUUAUAAGUCAUUUUAGUGUCAUAACUGAGAAAUCCCCAACCUGUAAAACAAAGACAGAAUCCAUUCAAGACCAAGAAGAAAAACAAAGCAGUUAAACCAAAAUCUCUCAAUAUGAAGUUUGACUGCCACCCCACUUUACUGUGGAGAGGGAAAAUCCACAGCAGCGCAGGAAGAGGCCCUUCACCAUUCGGAAGGGCAAAGAGAGCUUCCUACUAAGACAGAAAAAUUGGUGAUGACCCGAACAGACCUAUCUCACCAAGAAUUGACGAUCAGAAUGCAUUUCUGUAUGGUCGUUGGAAUCCAUUUAUCAAUAACCAAUAUAUUCAUUUU
rnacentral:lncRNA from 1 species